rnacentral:tRNA from 1 species
GGGAACCUGCGGCUGGAUCACCUCCUUUCUAAGGAUGAUCCUUCAGCGAGCUCACGCUCACUAUCGGAUCGUUUUAGAAACAUCAGUGGCCAACAGAUCGCCAGAUCGUUGAGCUGCAUUGGCGGGAUUUCGCCGUCUUCGUUUCUCUUUCUUCGCGGACGAACACGCGCUGGGCCUGCAUCAAGCAGGAUCCCACGGUCCCUGACGGGAUAUGCGUUAGGGGCUUGUAGCUCAGUUGGUUAGAGCGCGCGCUUGAUAAGCGUGAGGUCGGAAGUUCAAGUCUUCCCAGGCCCACCACUUUCAUCGAGUGAGCAUUCGUCUUCUGGUUACGGGGCCAUAGCUCAGCUGGGAGAGCGCGUGCUUUGCAAGCAUGAGGUCGUCGGUUCGAUCCCGUCUGGCUCCACCACGCUUCGCCUUUCAGGCUUCGCGUGGCGCAGCCAAGCACGGUCGAAGCGUGCCCGGCGUAGCUCACUUGAGCGUAGACGGGCUGGUUGAGAUCAGCCCGUAACCAUCACCGUCCGCGAAACAUCACUUCGUAUCCUGCUAGUCUGGAUAGACAGCAAGAUGCGUGUUUUCUGACAUCGUAAAGAGGAGAUCGAUCCGAGUUGGGUCGUGCAGCAGAUUGUUGCGCGAAUCCUUCAUUAUCUCCGGAUCAUUUUCGGCGCUCGCUUUCAGCCGUGAGGUUGAAUGCGAGUUGUAAAAUGAUCCUUUUAGCGAAGCUUGACCGCCUCGCUAUCGGAACGAUCUUACGAAGCAAGCUGGUCUUUCUAGUCAAUGUCCGGCUGCACGUAGCAUUCAUCGAGGGUGCGCGCCGUAAGGCAAUCGUGCAGACAACAUUCUGCCGAGUGUGUGGACAUUGAUAAUGAGAGCAAUCAAGUGCCUUAAGGG